rnacentral:rRNA from 1 species
UACAGAGGGGGCAAGCGUUGUUCGGAAUUACUGGGCGUAAAGGGCGCGUAGGCGGCCUGUUAAGUCGAACGUGAAAUCCCCGGGCUCAACCCGGGAACUGCGUCCGAUACUGGCAGGCUUGAAUUCGGGAGAGGGAUGUGGAAUUCCAGGGUGUAGCGGUGAAAUGCGUAGGAUAUCUGGAGAACACCGGUGGCGAAGGGCGGCAUCCUGGACCGAUAUUGACGCUGGAUGCGCGAAGCCAGGGGAGCAAAACGGG